rnacentral:tRNA from 1 species
ACUUUUAAAAGAUAAUAAAUAUCCGUUGGUCUUAGGAACCAAAAUAUUGGUGCAACUCCAAAUAAAAGUAAUAACCAUG